AGAGUUUGAUCCUGGCUCAGAGCGAACGCUGGCGGCAGGCCUAACACAUGCAAGUCGAACGGAUCCUUCGGGAUUAGUGGCGGACGGGUGAGUAACACGUGGGAACGUGCCCUUUGGUUCGGAACAACUCAGGGAAACUUGAGCUAAUACCGGAUAAGCCUUUGGAGGGAAAGAUUUAUCGCCAUUGGAGCGGCCCGCGUAGGAUUAGCUAGUUGGUGGGGUAAAGGCCCACCAAGGCUACGAUCCUUAGCUGGUCUGAGAGGAUGAUCAGCCACAUUGGGACUGAGACACGGCCCAAACUCCUACGGGAGGCAGCAGUGGGGAAUCUUGCGCAAUGGGCGAAAGCCUGACGCAGCCAUGCCGCGUGAAUGAUGAAGGUCUUAGGAUUGUAAAAUUCUUUCACCGGGGACGAUAAUGACGGUACCCGGAGAAGAAGCCCCGGCUAACUUCGUGCCAGCAGCCGCGGUAAUACGAAGGGGGCUAGCGUUGCUCGGAAUUACUGGGCGUAAAGGGAGCGUAGGCGGAUAGUUUAGUCAGAGGUGAAAGCCCAGGGCUCAACCUUGGAAUUGCCUUUGAUACUGGCUAUCUUGAGUACGGAAGAGGUAUGUGGAACUCCGAGUGUAGAGGUGAAAUUCGUAGAUAUUCGGAAGAACACCAGUGGCGAAGGCGACAUACUGGUCCGUUACUGACGCUGAGGCUCGAAAGCGUGGGGAGCAAACAGGAUUAGAUACCCUGGUAGUCCACGCUGUAAACGAUGAGUGCUAGUUGUCGGCAGGCAUGCCUGUCGGUGACGCAGCUAACGCAUUAAGCACUCCGCCUGGGGAGUACGGUCGCAAGAUUAAAACUCAAAGGAAUUGACGGGGGCCCGCACAAGCGGUGGAGCAUGUGGUUUAAUUCGAAGCAACGCGCAGAACCUUACCACCUUUUGACAUGCCUGGACCGCCUCAGAGAUGAGGCUUUCCCUUCGGGGACUGGGACACAGGUGCUGCUUGGCUGUCGUCAGCUCGUGUCGUGAGAUGUUGGGUUAAGUCCCGCAACGAGCGCAACCCUUGUCUCAUGUUGCCAGCACGUCAUGGUGGGGACUCGUGAGAGACUGCCGGGGUCAACUCGGAGGAAGGUGGGGAUGACGUCAAGUCAUCAUGCCCCUUAUGUCCAGGGCUUCACACAUGCUACAAUGGCCGGUACAAAGGGCUGCGAUGCCGUGAGGUGGAGCGAAUCCUUUCAAAGCCGGUCUCAGUUCGGAUCGGGGUCUGCAACUCGACCCCGUGAAGUCGGAGUCGCUAGUAAUCGCAGAUCAGCAACGCUGCGGUGAAUACGUUCCCGGGCCUUGUACACACCGCCCGUCACGUCAUGAAAGUCGGUAACACCCGAAGCCGGUGGCCUAACCCCUCGUGGGAGGGAGCCGUCGAAGGUGGGAUCGGCGAUUGGGACGAAG
rnacentral:rRNA from 1 species